rnacentral:ncRNA from 1 species
UUCUUAUCCAGAGAGGUGGAGGGACUGGCCCUUUGAAACCUCAGCAUCGGUCAAUGACUGUGCUAAUUCCAGAAAGCCUUAAGCUUGAUGAUAAGAA